CCUACGGGAGGCAGCAGUGGGGAAUAUUGCACAAUGGGGGAAACCCUGAUGCAGCAACGCCGCGUGAGUGAAGAAGUAUUUCGGUAUGUAAAGCUCUAUCAGCAGGGAAGAAAAUGACAGUACCUGACUAAGAAGCCCCGGCUAACUACGUGCCAGCAGCCGCGGUAAUACGUAGGGGGCAAGCGUUAUCCGGAUUUACUGGGUGUAAAGGGAGCGUAGACGGCUGCGCAAGUCAGAAGUGAAAGCCCGGGACUCAACCGCGGGACUGCUUUUGAAACUGUGUAGCUAGAGUGCAGGAGAGGUAAGUGGGAUUCCUAGUGUAGCGGUGAAAUGCGUAGAGAUUAGGAGGAACACCGGUGGCGAAGGCGGCUUACUGGACUGUAACUGACGUUGAGGCUCGAAAGCGUGGGGAGCAAACAGGAUUAGAUACCCCUGUAGUC
rnacentral:rRNA from 1 species